rnacentral:lncRNA from 1 species
GUUCAGUUGGCUCAGUGUGGGGUACAGGAACAGGGAAGGCAAAUCGGUAGGAGGUUGACUGAGAAAACGGUAGACAUUACACCCGGAACUUCUAUCAUUCUACCUACUGGCUGUGUUCCCUGCACCUGUCAUCCCUCUGCUCUGCCCAGUGUCUUUCAGAAUUCUUUAUCGUCCUCUAGUUGGGAACGCCAACAGCUCAGCUUCUCCUAAAGAUCCUUCCACGAGGUAUGGGUUUGGGGCAGGGGGAAAGGGUAGGGAGAGGACACACGAGUACUCAUGUGUCUGAAACUUCCUAGAAAACAGGGCUGUUUUCUCUUGCCAGGAAUCACAGACAAUCUUCCUGUACAGAACAGUCAUUUCAAUCAAGACUUGUAGCUUAACAAGUAGGGAACAGAAGGUCAUUCUCUAAGACAGGAUGCCGGGAGGACAAGAGCUGAAUGGGCCAAGCUGGGCCAGAGACGCCAUCCCCAGCCAGAAUCCCCCCAGGGAAAUUAUUCCUGAGCCUGCACUAUAUGAUAAACAGGUGCCAUAUAUUCUGGACCUGUGGAAUGGACUCCAAAUGAGAGACCCUCUGGAUAGACGUCUAAAGACACUUUAUUUGGAGAGAGCCUUCCCUCAUUCAGCAACCCAAUCGCCUUGAUUUGGACUUUGGGUCUGUGUGUGCCUACACAGAGGUGGGAGGUCGACAGGACCAUGUUGGGGUUAAAUAAAAACCCACACCCCUCUCUUGCCA